rnacentral:rRNA from 1 species
GACGAACGCUGGCGGCGUGCCUAAUACAUGCAAGUUGAGCGCUGACGGUUGGUACUUGUACCAACUGGAUGAGCAGCGAACGGGUGAGUAACGCGUGGGGAAUCUGCCUUUGAGCGGGGGACAACAUUUGGAAACGAAUGCUAAUACCGCAUAAAAACUUUAAACACAAGUUUUAAGUUUGAAAGAUGCAAUUGCAUCACUAAAAGAUGAUCCCGCGUUGUAUUAGCUAGUUGGUGAGGUAAAGGCUCACCAAGGCGAUGAUACAUAGCCGACCUGAGAGGGUGAUCGAGCAAAUUGGGACUGAGACACGGCCCAAACUCCCACGGGAGGCAGCAGUAGGGAAUCUUCGGCAAUGGACGAAAGUCUGACCGAGCAACGCCGCGUGAGUGAAGAAGGUUUUCGGAUCGUAAAACUCUGUUGGUAGAGAAGAACGGUGGUGAGAGUGGAACGCUCAUCAAGUGACGGUAACUACCCAGAAAGGGACGGCUAACUACGUG